rnacentral:rRNA from 1 species
GACGAACGCUGGCGGCGUGCUUAACACAUGCAAGUCGAACGGAAAGGCCCUGCUUUCGUGGGGUGCUCGAGUGCCGAACGGGUGAGUAACACGUGAGUAACCUGCCCUUGACUUUGGGAUAACUUCAGGAAACUGGGGCUAAUACCGGAUAGCAGCUCCUGCUGCAUGGUGGGGGUUGGAAAGUCUCGGCGGUGGGGGAUGGACUGGCGGCUUAUCAGCUUGUUGGUGGGGUAGUGGCUUACCAAGGCUUUGACGGGUAGCCGGCCAGAGAGGGUGACCGGCCACAUUGGGACUGAGGUACGGCACAGACUCCUACUGGAGGCAGCAGUGGGGAAUAUUGCACCAUGGGCGGAAGCCUGAUGCAGCAACGCCGCGUGCUGGAUGACGGCCUUCGGGUUGUAAACCGCUUGCGCCUGUGACGAAGCGUGAGUGACGGUAAUGGAUAAAGAAGCAACGGCUAACUACGUG